rnacentral:rRNA from 1 species
AACGAACGCUGGCGGCAGGCCUAACACAUGCAAGUCGUGCGCGCCCUUCGGGGUGAGCGGCGGACGGGUGAGUAACGCGUGGGAAUAUGCCCUUCUGUUGAGGAUAGCCCCGGGAAACUGGGAGUAAUACUCGAUACGCCCCUUGGGGGAAGGAAGGAUUAGCCCGCGUUAGAUUAGGUAGUUGGUGAGGUAACGGCUCACCAAGCCUACGAUCUAUAGCUGGUUUUAGAGGAUGAUCAGCCACACUGGGACUGAGACACGGCCCAGACUCCUACGGGAGGCAGCAGUGAGGAAUCUUGGACAAUGGGCGCAAGCCUGAUCCAGCCAUGCCGCGUGAACGAUGAAGGCUUUCGAGUCGUAAAGUUCUGUUCUUGGGGAAGAUAACGACGGUACCCAAGGAG